UUUAUGGAGAGUUUGAUCCUGGCUCAGGAUGAACGCUGGCGGCGUGCCUAAUACAUGCAAGUCGAGCGAACAGAUAAGGAGCUUGCUCCUUUGACGUUAGCGGCGGACGGGUGAGUAACACGUGGGUAACCUACCUAUAAGACUGGAAUAACUCCGGGAAACCGGGGCUAAUGCCGGAUAACAUGUUGAACCGCAUGGUUCUACAGUGAAAGACGGUCUUGCUGUCACUUAUAGAUGGACCCGCGCCGUAUUAGCUAGUUGGUGGGGUAACGGCCUACCAAGGCGACGAUACGUAGCCGACCUGAGAGGGUGAUCGGCCACACUGGAACUGAGACACGGUCCAGACUCCUACGGGAGGCAGCAGUAGGGAAUCUUCCGCAAUGGGCGAAAGCCUGACGGAGCAACGCCGCGUGAGUGAUGAAGGUCUUCGGAUCGUAAAGCUCUGUUGUUAGGGAAGAACAAAUGUGUAAGUAACUGUGCACAUCUUGACGGUACCUAACCAGAAAGCCACGGCUAACUACGUGCCAGCAGCCGCGGUAAUACGUAGGUGGCAAGCGUUAUCCGGAAUUAUUGGGCGUAAAGCGCGCGUAGGCGGUUUUUUAAGUCUGAUGUGAAAGCCCACGGCUCAACCGUGGAGGGUCAUUGGAAACUGGAAAACUUGAGUGCAGAAGAGGAAAGUGGAAUUCCAUGUGUAGCGGUGAAAUGCGCAGAGAUAUGGAGGAACACCAGUGGCGAAGGCGGCUUUCUGGUCUGCAACUGACGCUGAUGUGCGAAAGCGUGGGGAUCAAACAGGAUUAGAUACCCUGGUAGUCCACGCCGUAAACGAUGAGUGCUAAGUGUUAGGGGGUUUC
rnacentral:rRNA from 1 species